AUGGGCCUUAAUCGAAGCCAAAAAACUUUGAUUUUAAGUUUUCUGGUCAAAUAAAGCCCGACAGUAAUGAAAUUGCCUUUUCAUAUGGUCACUGACUGAGUAAUUAUAUUCUUUUCGUAUCACCCAGGAAAGGUACAUUA